AUUGAACCCAGGGCCUUGUGCAUGGGAGGCAGCCACUCUACCAACUGAGCUAUAUCCCCAGCCCUAUCUCUUUGUGUUUUUGUGUCUGCUGUUCCUUUGGCUGUAAUAUCCUUCUCCCCUUGUUUGCUUCACCAGCUCCUGUUUAGUUUAAGGAUGACCUUUGUGAAACAUUCUCGGAUAUAUCAGUAUCUCCAUUAUAUGGUGCAGGUCACUUUGCACUGUAGUUCUCAUGGGUGUGUCUAUGCCAUCUAGGUUGUGAGCUCCUCGGGAAUAGGGGUUAUUUCUUAUUCAUUGGUAUUAUUUUCCAGGGUUUUCACAGAUCCAAGUAAAGACAGGCAGGAGUCACUGUAUCAUUGAGCUGCUUGGGCAUGCCACAGUACUCUCCAAGAUCUGUGGAAUUGAGUUGUACAAGAGUCUGUCAAGUGGGAGCUGGGAAUAGUGGGCUCUCUACACAGUGUCCAUGGUGGAAGCUGGGAAAAAGAAAAGACAGUCGCUCACUGCCUGUCAUUUCUAAAUAACAUCGGUAUCCACCUAAUUUUCUAAGCUAGAAGUUUAUAAAUCACUUCUUGUUCCUUCUUCUCCACUUGGCUACUCUCCCCCAAUCUAAUCAGUCACUAAAUCCUGUCAGUUCUACUUUUUAAUGUCCCUGGAGCCUGCUGGCACCUUGCCAUUGUCAUUGCCAAUUCUGUAGUGCAGGCCCUCAUUAUCUCUCAUCUGGAAUCGAUAGCUCCUGACUGGUCUUGCUCUCCAUUCCUCUCGCCCUUUAUUCCACCUCUCUAUCCUCCACACUGCUGCCACAAUGUGCUUUCAAAAGCAAAUCUGAUCGUGGCACCAUCCUGAUGAAAGCAUCCUAGGGUACUCCAUGACCUGAAAGAAGUCCAAAUUCCUUAGCAUCCUCCCUCUCGCAUCAAUUUCUUGCAUCUCAUCCUCACUCUAGCCCAUUAGACAAUACAGUUUCCUAAAAUUACUAUGCUGCAAAGCCCUGGCCAAUGCUAUUUCGCUGCCUCGUCUGCUUGCUUCUCUCCGGGUCGUCAGAUGAACUGCCACCACUUUUCAAGACCCAACUUUAUUAAGAGGAGUACAUGGC
rnacentral:lncRNA from 1 species